GAUGAACGCUGGCGGCGUGCCUAAUACAUGCAAGUCGAGCGAACAGACGAGGAGCUUGCUCCUCUGACGUUAGCGGCGGACGGGUGAGUAACACGUGGAUAACCUACCUAUAAGACUGGGAUAAAUUCGGGAAACCGGAGCUAAUACCGGAUAAUAUAUUGAACCGCAUGGUUCAAUAGUGAAAGACGGUUUUGCUGUCACUUAUAGAUGGAUCCGCGCCGCAUUAGCUAGUUGGUAAGGUAACGGCUUACCAAGGCAACGAUGCGUAGCCGAGCUGAGAGGGUGAUCGGCCACACUGGAACUGAGACGCGGUCCAGACUCCUACGGGAGGCAGCAGUAGGGAAUCUUCCGCAAUGGGCGAAAGCCUGACGGAGCAACGCCGCGUGAGUGAUGAAGGUCUUCGGAUCGUAAAACUCUGUUAUUAGGGAAGAACAAAUGUGUAAGUAACUAUGCACGUCUUGACGGUACCUAAUCAGAAAGCCACGGCUAACUACGUG
rnacentral:rRNA from 1 species